GAGCUUUAAUUAGCUAGCCUAAAAUGAUUUUAUAAUAACCAAAAGGAACAAAAUUAUCUAAAAUAAGCUAGCAAUUUAGGUUGGGGUGACCUCGGAGUAUAAAAACCCCUCCGAGUGAUUCAAAUCUAGACAUACCAGUCAAAACCAAAUCACUUAUUGACCCAAACGUAUUUGAUCAACGAAACAAGUUACCCUAGGGAUAACAGCGCAAUCCUAUUUAAGAGUCCCUAUCGACAAUAGGGUUUAC
rnacentral:rRNA from 1 species